GCGUCAACCUCGUACCAGCCCCUUUUUUCUUCUCGCGUGGCAGUUGCUACUUGUGUCGCGUAUAGCCUUGUUAGACUUUGAGUCGGAGCUGCGGGUUCGCCCUCCUAAGGCUGCGUCACUCUAUUGGCAAUCGGGAAGUCUUGGGCUUUCUUCUUGUUUCGUUUUCCGGACUUGGGACUACUGCCGACCCGCGCCGGUGACGGCUUCGUGCGCGACCCCUCUCCCGGCCGGCGGCGUCUGUGUUGGAUGGGUGAGCCUGGGAUCAGGUGCCGCUGAUCAUCGUCAGCACCUUACUUAAACCUGUCCUUAGCCUCACGUCAUCACAAAAUCAAGUCACCUACAGAUCCUGUACUGCUUGCCUGGCAAAACGCCUGCCUGCCUGUUCACCUGUUCUAUCACCAAACUGCCCACUGGAUUCUUUGGACACUAUCUAAGGCUCCCUCUCAUCGUCAAUGAAUUACCCCAGAACCUUAACGAAUACUGUAUGUUGUUUACAGUCUAAAAAUAGGUCAUCUUUAAUGUUGAGUUGCUCGUUCCAAUUAAAAUAUGAUGUGGAAAAAAAAAAACAAUGUUAUAUUGUUACGUUGUUGUAUGUUGCAUUAAUAUGUUAGCAUUAAUAAA